UUUUUUCUUAAUAUGUAGAAACUCUGCGGGACAUUAGUCUUUCUCUAGUCAGCACUUUUUUUAUUAUAAAUUUGUCAACCUAUAGGGGCUUUGAAAAUGAAGUUUCCAUGGUGGGUUUUCUACCGUCAGAUGUCUCCUGGGCCCACAUAACAGACCUGCCUUCUCUUCAUGAGCAGAAUUCAGGAUUCACUAAUCUCACAGGCUAUAGCCUAUAACCUGAUGGUGGGGAAAUCGAGCCAUUUCUUACUCCUCAGAUUAGUGAUGUAAGAGAAGGAAAUGUCUUCCCUUCCCUUCCCUAUACCAAGAGAAGUUUGCAUGCCCAGCUUUCUAGACUUAUCUGUGGAAUUGAGCUUAUGCCAUAAAUUACCAGAAACCUAAUGAUGACCUAGAACUGGACGUCACUGGGUUUAGACAUGAGACACCAUGAAUCUCCAGUUCUGACGAGCAUCCCCAUUUGGAAUUACACAAGAACGCCUGGCUGCUGUAUAUGAUUGGCAGCGACAUCCGUACAGACAGAGAAACCAAAAGGAAUCUUCGAAGAGACAGCAUGUUGGCACUGCCCUCUUAAACUGAGCUUCUGGUUAACAAAUUGAUCAGUUGGGCAAUGUCAAUCCAACUGAAUGUUCAUACUAAACAAACCUAAAAAUGCUACCUUUGUACAUUUUUACAGGAUAAAUGUAUCUUGGAAGUUCAUCUUUGUGGCAACUUCUGUGUUCCUAUUUGAAAGAACAUCAUUAAUCAUUUCAUUCAAUGUGGGCUAUGUUUAUCAUUUUUUCACCCCAGAAGCAUUUUUCAUUAUUUUUAAGUGAAUAAUUCUAACUAUAAGCAUUAAAAUAAAAUCAUUCUGCCUC
rnacentral:lncRNA from 1 species